GAUGAACGCUGGCGGCGUGCUUAAGACAUGCAAGUCGAACGGAGAACGAGCAGCAAUGUUGGUUCUCAGUGGCGAAUGGGUGCGUAACACGUAGGUGACCUGCCCCGAAGUGGGGAAUAACAGUCCGAAAGGACUGCUAAUACCGCAUGUGGACCGGGGAGUUAGAGAGCCCGGUCUAAAGGUCGCAAAACCGCUUCGGGAGGGACCUGCGGCCCAUCAGCUAGAUGGUGAGGAACGGCUUACCAUGGCGAAGACGGGUAGGGGACCUGAGAGGGUGACCCCCCACAUUGGCACUGACACACGGGCCAAACUCCUACGGGAGGCAGCAGUCGGGAAUAUUGCCCAAUGGACGAAGUCUGAGCAGCAACGCCGCGUGCGCGACGAA
rnacentral:rRNA from 1 species